GGAGGAGCUUGCUCUUCUGGAUGAGUUGCGAACGGGUGAGUAACGCGUAGGUAACCUGCCUGGUAGCGGGGGAUAACUAUUGGAAACGAUAGCUAAUACCGCAUAAGAGUAGAUGUUGCAUGACAUUUGCUUAAAAGGUGCGAUUGCAUCACUACCAGAUGGACCUGCGUUGUAUUAGCUAGUUGGUGGGGUAACGGCUCACCAAGGCGACGAUACAUAGCCGACCUGAGAGGGUGAUCGGCCACACUGGACUGAGACACGGCCCAGACUCCUACGGGAGGCAGCAGUAGGGAAUCUUCGGCAAUGGACGGAAGUCUGACCGAGCAACGCCGCGUGAGUGAAGAAGGUUUUCGGAUCGUAAAGCUCUGUUGUAAGAGAAGAACGAGUGUGAGAGUGGAAAGUUCACACUGUGACGGUAUCUUACCAGAAAGGGACGGCUAACUACGUGCCAGCAGCCGCGGUAAUACGUAGGUCCCGAGCGUUGUCCGGAUUUAUUGGGCGUAAAGCGAGCGCAGGCGGUUAGAUAAGUCUGAAGUUAAAGGCUGUGGCUUAACCAUAGUACGCUUUGGAAACUGUUUAACUUGAGUGCAAGAGGGGAGAGUGGAAUUCCAUGUGUAGCGGUGAAAUGCGUAGAUAUAUGGAGGAACACCGGUGGCGAAAGCGGCUCUCUGGCUUGUAACUGGCGCUGAGGCUCGAAAGCGUGGGGAGCAAACAGGAUUAGAUAUCCUGGUAGUCCACGCCGUAAACGAUGAGUGCUAGGUGUUAGACCCUU
rnacentral:rRNA from 1 species